UACAGAGGCCUCAAGCGUUGUUCGGAUUCAUUGGGCGUAAAGGGUGCGUAGGCGGCGCGGUAAGUCGGGUGUGAAAUCUUGGAGCUUAACUCCGAAACUGCAUUCGAUACUGCCGUGCUUGAGGACUGGAGAGGAGACUGGAAUUUACGGUGUAGCGGUGAAAUGCGUAGAUAUCGUAAGGAAGACCAGUGGCGAAGGCGGGUCUCUGGACAGUUCCUGACGCUGAGGCGCGAAGGCCAGGGGAGCAAACGGG
rnacentral:rRNA from 1 species